rnacentral:rRNA from 1 species
AGUGAACGCUGGCGGUAGGCCUAACACAUGCAAGUCGAACGGCAGCACAGUAAGAGCUUGCUCUUACGGGUGGCGAGUGGCGGACGUGUGAGGAAUACAUCGGAAUCUACUUUUUCGUGGGGGAUAACGUAGGGAAACUUACGCUAAUACCGCAUACGACCUACGGGGGAAAGCAGGGGAUCUUCGGACCUUGCGCGAUUGAAUGAGCCGAUGUCGGAUUAGCUAGUUGGCGGGGUAAAGGCCCACCAAGGCGACGAUCCGUAGCUGGUCUGAGAGGAUGAUCGGCCACACUGGAGCGGAGCCACGGUCCAGACUCCUACGGGAGGCCGCAGUGGGGAAUAUUGGACAAUGGGCGCAAGCCUGAUCCAGCCAUACCGCGUGGGUGAAGAAGGCCUUCCGGUUGUAAAGCCCUUUUGUUGGGAAAGAAAAGCAGCAGGUUAAUACCCCGCUGUUCUGACGGUACCCAAAGAAUAAGCACCGGCUAACUUCGUG